GGUUUCGUUGUGUAGUGGUUAUCACGUUCGCUUUACACGCGAAAGGUCCCCGGUUCGAUCCCGGGCGGAACCA
rnacentral:tRNA from 1 species